rnacentral:rRNA from 1 species
CUGCCAGAUGAACGCUGGCGGCGUGCCUAAUACAUGCAAGUCGAACGAGUUCUCGUUGAUGAUCGGUGCUUGCACCGAGAUUCAACAUGGAACGAGUGGCGGACGGGUGAGUAACACGUGGGUAACCUGCCCUUAAGUGGGGGAUAACAUUUGGAAACAGAUGCUAAUACCGCAUAGAUCCAAGAACCGCAUGGUUCUUGGCUGAAAGAUGGCGUAAGCUAUCGCUUUUGGAUGGACCCGCGGCGUAUUAGCUAGUUGGUGAGGUAAUGGCUCACCAAGGCGAUGAUACGUAGCCGAACUGAGAGGUUGAUCGGCCACAUUGGGACUGAGACACGGCCCAAACUCCUACGGGAGGCAGCAGUAGGGAAUCUUCCACAAUGGACGCAAGUCUGAUGGAGCAACGCCGCGUGAGUGAAGAAGGCUUUCGGGUCGUAAAACUCUGUUGUUGGAGAAGAAUGGUCGGCAGAGUAACUGUUGUCGGCGUGACGGUAUCCAACCAGAAAGCCACGGCUAACUACGUGCCAGCAGCCGCGGUAAUACGUAGGUGGCAAGCGUUAUCCGGAUUUAUUGGGCGUAAAGCGAGCGCAGGCGGUUUUUUAAGUCUGAUGUGAAAGCCCUCGGCUUAACCGAGGAAGCGCAUCGGAAACUGGGAAACUUGAGUGCAGAAGAGGACAGUGGAACUCCAUGUGUAGCGGUGAAAUGCGUAGAUAUAUGGAAGAACACCAGUGGCGAAGGCGGCUGUCUGGUCUGUAACUGACGCUGAGGCUCGAAAGCAUGGGUAGCGAACAGGAUUAGAUACCCUGGUAGUCCAUGCCGUAAACGAUGAAUGCUAGGUGUUGGAGGGUUUCCGCCCUUCAGUGCCGCAGCUAACGCAUUAAGCAUUCCGCCUGGGGAGUACGACCGCAAGGUUGAAACUCAAAGGAAUUGACGGGGGCCCGCACAAGCGGUGGAGCAUGUGGUUUAAUUCGAAGCAACGCGAAGAACCUUACCAGGUCUUGACAUCUUUUGAUCACCUGAGAGAUCAGGUUUCCCCUUCGGGGGCAAAAUGACAGGUGGUGCAUGGUUGUCGUCAGCUCGUGUCGUGAGAUGUUGGGUUAAGUCCCGCAACGAGCGCAACCCUUAUGACUAGUUGCCAGCAUUUAGUUGGGCACUCUAGUAAGACUGCCGGUGACAAACCGGAGGAAGGUGGGGAUGACGUCAAAUCAUCAUGCCCCUUAUGACCUGGGCUACACACGUGCUACAAUGGAUGGUACAACGAGUUGCGAGACCGCGAGGUCAAGCUAAUCUCUUAAAGCCAUUCUCAGUUCGGACUGUAGGCUGCAACUCGCCUACACGAAGUCGGAAUCGCUAGUAAUCGCGGAUCAGCACGCCGCGGUGAAUACGUUCCCGGGCCUUGUACACACCGCCCGUCACACCAUGAGAGUUUGUAACACCCGAAGCCGGUGGCGUAACCCUUUUAGGGAGCGAGCCGUCUAAGGUGGGACAAAUGAUUAGGGUGAAGUCGUAACAAGGUAGCCGUAGGAGAACC